GCCCCGGGAAAAUAACAUUUUAUUGUGCACUUUGUUGACGUCAUAACCGUUUUAAAUAACAAUGUUGGACAAGAAGCGUGGUUGAAAUGACACAGCAUUUGUAAAGGAAACAAAUGACUCUAAAUAAAUACUAAAAUAAAAUCUGUUAUAUUUCAGAUUUUGGAAAUAUAUUACUUCAGAAUUCAAAUAAUUUCAAACGGUACCAAUCUUAC
rnacentral:lncRNA from 1 species